AGGUAGUGACAAUAAAUAGUGAAGUGGGGCGCUUUAGCGCCACACUAUCGCAAUGAACGGGGCCUAAAUACCCCUAUGAGGAACAAUUGGAGGGCAAGUCUGGUGCCAGCAGCCGCGGUAAUUCCAGCUCCAAUAGCGUAUAUUAAAGUUGUUGCAGUUAAAAAGCUCGUAGUUGAACCUUGGGCCUGUCCUGCCGGUCCGCCUCACCGCGAGUACUGGUCCGGAUGGGCCUUUCUUUCUGGGGAAUCCCAUGGCCUUCACUGGCUGUGGCGGGGAACCAGGACUUUUACUGUGAAAAAAUUAGAGUGUUCAAAGCAGGCCUUUGCUCGGAUACAUUAGCAUGGAAUAAUAAAAUAGGACGUGCGGUUCUAUUUUGUUGGUUUCUAGGACCGCCGUAAUGAUUAAUAGGGAUAGUCGGGGGCGUCAGUAUUCAGCUGUCAGAGGUGAAAUUCUUGGAUUUGCUGAAGACUAACUACUGCGAAAGCAUUCGCCAAGGAUGUUUUCAUUAAUCAGGGAACGAAAGUUAGGGGAUCGAAGACGAUCAGAUACCGUCGUAGUCUUAACCAUAAACUAUGCCGACUAGGGAUCGGGCGGGGUUUCUAUGAUGACCCGCUCGGCACCUUACGAGAAAUCAAAGUUUUUGGGUUCUGG
rnacentral:rRNA from 1 species